rnacentral:rRNA from 1 species
CAGCAGCCGCGGGAAUACAGAGGAUGCAAGCGUUAUCCGGAAUGAUUGGGCGUAAAGGGUGCGUAGGCGGCCCCGCAAGUCGCAUGUGAAAUCUUCAGGCUCAACUUGAAGUCUGCAUGGGAAACUGCGGGGCUGGAGUAUGGGAGAGGUGAGUGGAAUUCCUGGUGUAGCGGUGAAAUGCGUAGAUAUCAGGAGGAACACCUGUGGCGAAAGCGGCUCACUGGACCAUAACUGACGCUGAGGCACGAAAGCUAGGGGAGCAAACAGGAUUAGAUACCCCGGUAGUCCCUGUCUCUUAUAC